rnacentral:lncRNA from 1 species
UUAAGAGGAUGACUAUAAUAUCUGAAAAACACUUUCUUUCUUUACAGAGACUUUUGGAGCUUCUUCAUAAUUAUGUAAAUAACAUUUCCCAGAAAAAAAGUGGCUUGGCACCUGCUUCUGACGUAGCAGUGAGGCAGGCUUGCUUCAUUCUCAUCCACCGUCAACUCCAUCCACACUUCCUUAAGCUCUCUGAAUGUCAGUUGGAGUCUUGAGCAUUUAAUACAUUCUUCUUUCCUAAAGCAAGCAAAAUAUUUUAGUUCUACUGUGCACAAAGCCAUCCUUAUCGUUGGCCCUGUGUUCCUAAGUAGCUUCUGGCAAAUUACUUAGUUUUUCAGUUUCUUAUUAAUGGAUGACCAUGUAUAUCAAGGAAGAUAGUAAUGCUGCAUGACUGUAAAGACUAGAAACGAUCCUAAACACACACAGGGCCAAGAGUUCCAGGCAGCAAAGGGAACGUGGGAAGUCUCCCUUCCAUCCGGCUGCUGACACGAGUGUUUAACCUGUGUCCAUCCUGUUCUGCAUUCUUCCUUCGUGGCUGCAGAUGGCCCCGAGGCCAUUGUCUGCUGUUCAACUUGAAAAUUGAACUUGUCUCUUUGAAAUAUCUCAUGCAGUGUAAAAAGUGUAAGCAAACUCUGGCACUAAAAUCAGCUUACGCGGAGACGAACAAGUGAAUACAAACAAGUGAAUACAGAUGUCUACUUUGCUGAGUUCCCCGCCCCCUUCCUUGCUGCCCUUUCGCUGGGAUGUGCGUCAUCUGACAGAACCAUCACUCCGUGUACGUUCAAAGGCUACAGAUUCAGCAGCAGGCUGUAAAUGGUACUGUAAGUGAUAGCUUAACAAUUUCUGGUAGGCUUAAAAAUGGACCCUUGUACAGACUAAUACACUGUAUAAUUCUUUAUAAAGAUGAAUGGAGAAAAUAGCCUGACUUUAAUAGAGGGCUCUUCCCGUAACAGCUGGAAUUUGUGAUUCACAGCAAACCCAUACAAGAGCACUGCAGUUGAAGGGAAUGCCUGGCUUCUGGGAGUCAAUUAGAAUUUAUAUUUAAUCAACCUGAAAAAAAAACCCAAAUAGAAUUCCAGUAAGGAAAUCACUUUUGUAGCCUUUCGCGCAGAGAUCUGUUUUGACACAGCUGUCCCUGCAAUAUGUUGGACGUGGCUGCCAGGCAGAGGCUGUGAAAAGUAGUUUUUAUGGCUGUCAGAGGAGGAGAGCACGGAC